rnacentral:misc_RNA from 1 species
GAUGAAGAACGUAGUGAAAUGCGAUACGUAAUGUGAAUUGCAGAAUUCAGUGAAUCAUCGAAUCUUUGAACGCACAUUGCGCCCCCUGGUAUUCCGGGGGGCAUGCCUGUCCGAGCGUCAUUACAACCCUCAAGCUCAGCUUGGUGUUGGGCCCCGCCGCCCCGGCGGGCCCUAAAGUCAGUGGCGGUGCCGUCCGGCUCCGAGCGUAGUAAUUCUUCUCGCUCUGGAGGUCCGGUCGUGUGCUCGCCAGCAACCCCCAAUUUUUUUCAGGUUGACCUCGGAUCAGGUAGGGAUACCCGCUGAACUUAAGCAUAUCAAUAAGCGGAGG